rnacentral:lncRNA from 1 species
ACGUACAGGCCUUGAUGGCUGGCCGGCCUGACCACUCCAGCUGACCGGCCUGACCCGCGCGCGGUGGUCUCACCUGCACCACGGCCGGCGACCGGCGACCGGCGAACGCAGCCGGCAGUCGCCAGCCCAGACGGCGACGGCACUGGCAGCCGGCCGGCAGGCACACGUACGUACGGCACCCGCACCGCGGCCAUGGCUCGAGCCCGAUUCAAUUCGCGGCAGCAGGCAGGGGAUCGGAGCUCAUGCAUGCAUGCUCUCGCGACGCGAGUGAGCCUGCCUGCAGGCUGAGCAGGCUGCAGCGGCCAGCAGCCCCGGCCCGGCACCGGCACAGGGGCACAGGGCGGGGCAAUGCGCGGCCUCGGGCAGAGCAGCUAGCGCGCGGCCGGCCUCGUUCGAUGCAUGGACGCCGCGCCGGGCAGCUCCUGGCGGGCGGGCGGCCUCGGGCAGAGCAGCGCGCGGCCUCGAUGGACGCUGCAUGCGGCUGCGCUGCGCUAUAGAGUACCUGCUGCCUAGCUCUGCCUGAUCCCCGUUUGUUUGGAUUGGAGGCUUUUAAUUUCUCAUCAAAGGGAAUCCAACGUAAAUUUCUAUGUUUGUCUGC